GGGGCUAAUUCUCGAUAGGUGAAGAACUCUGGAAUGAGUCUUUGCCAAAAAGACGUUUACGUUAUGCUCGUAGGCGUCGCCCAAGGAUGAGGCCGCGACCGAUCAGGUUGUUGGUGAGGUAAUGGCUCACCAAGCCUUUUACCGGUGCGGGCCGUGAGAGCGGGAGCCCGGAGAUGGGCACUGAGACAAGGGCCCAGGCCCUACGGGGCGCAGCAGUCGCGAAAACUUUGCAAUACACGAAAGUGUGACAGGGCUAUCCCGAGUGCCAUCCGCUGAGGAAGGCUUUUACCCAGUCUAGAACGCUGGGGGAAUAAGGAGAGGGCAAGUCUGGUGUCAGCCGCCGCGGUAAUACCAGCUCUCCGAGUGGUGUGGAUGUUUAUUGGGCCUAAAGCAUCCGUAGCUGGCUGAGUUAGUCCCUUGUUAAAUCCACCGAAUUAAUCGUUGGAUUGCGGGGGAUACUGCUCGGCUAGGGGACGAGAGAGGCAGACGGUAUUUCUGGGGUAGGGGUGAAAUCCUAUAAUCCCAGGAGGACCACCAGUGGCGAAGGCUGUCUGCUAGAACGCGCCCGACGGUGAGGGAUGAAAGCUGGGGGAGCGAACCGGAUUAGAUACCCGGGUAGUCCCAGCUGUAAACGAUGCAGACUAGGUGUUUGGACGGCCACGUGCCGUUCUAGUGCCGCAGGGA
rnacentral:rRNA from 1 species